UGGGGAAUAUUGCACAAUGGGCGCAAGCCUGAUGCAGCGACGCCGCGUGAGGGAUGACGGCCUUCGGGUUGUAAACCUCUUUCGCCAGGGACGAAGCGUGAGUGACGGUACCUGGAGAAGAAGCACCGGCCAACUACGUGCCAGCAGCCGCGGUAAUACGUAGGGUGCGAGCGUUGUCCGGAAUUACUUGGCGUAAAGAGCUCGUAGGCGGUUUGUCGCGUCGUCUGUGAAAUCCUGCAACUCAAUUGCAGGCGUGCAGGCGAUACGGGCAGACUUGAGUACUACAGGGGAGACUGGAAUUCCUGGUGUAGCGGUGAAAUGCGCAGAUAUCAGGAGGAACACCGGUGGCGAAGGCGGGUCUCUGGGUAGUAACUGACGCUGAGGAGCGAAAGCGUGGGGAGCGAACAGGAUU
rnacentral:rRNA from 1 species